UACGUAGGGUGCAAGCGUUAAUCGGAAUUACUGGGCGUAAAGCUUGCGCAGGCGGUUUUGUAAGUCUGUCGUGAAAUCCCCGGGCUCAACCUGGGAAUUGCGAUGGAGACUGCAAGGCUAGAAUCUGGCAGAGGGGGGUAGAAUUCCACGGUGUAGCAGUGAAAUGCGUAGAGAUGUGGAGGAACACCGAUGGCGAAGGCAGCCCCCUGGGUCAAGAUUGACGCUCAUGCACGAAAGCGUGGGGAGCAAACA
rnacentral:rRNA from 1 species